rnacentral:lncRNA from 1 species
GGCCACGCGCUCGGGUCCCCUUCCACACUGUGGGAGUUUUGUUCUUUUGCUCUUUGCAAUAAAUCUUGCUACUGCUCACUCUUUGGGUCCACGCUGCUUUUAUGAGCUGUAACACUCACCGGGAAGAUCUGCAGCUUCACUCUUGAGCCCAGCGAGACCACGAGCCCACCGGGAGGAAUGAACAACUCCAGACGCGCUACCUUAAGAGCUGUAACACUCACCGCGAAGGUCUGCAGCUUCACUCCUGAGCCAGCGAGACUACGAAGGAACCCACCAGAAGGAAGAAACUCCGAACACAUCUGAACAUCAGAAGGGACAGACUCCAGACGCGCCACCUUAAGUGCUGUAACACUCACUGCGAGGGUCCGCGGCUUCAUUCUUGAAGUCAGUGAGACCAAGAACCCACCAAUUCCGGACAGAAGGGCCCAGGGAGCAUGGAGUGCAGGGACACUGCCGGCUGCCUUUCACCUUUCUCUCCUUCCCUUCCCCACACAGUCAGUCUGGGGAAUCCCAUUCUUUUCUUUUCUUUUCUUUUCUUUUUUUUUUAAUUUGGAGAUGGAGUCUCAUUGUGUUGCCGAGGCUGGAGUGCAAUGGCCCAAUCUCGGCUCUCACUGCAACCUCUGCCUCUAGGGUUCAAGCGAUUCUCCUGCCUCAGUCCCCCAAGUAGCUGGGAUUACAGGCGCGUGCCACCACGCCCAGCUAAUUUUGUGUUUUUAGUAGAGACGGGGUUUCACCAUGUUAGCCAGGCUGGUCUCGAACUCCUGAUUUCAGGUGAUCCACCCGCCUCGGCCUCCCAAAGUGCUGGGAUUACAGGUGUGAGCCACUGCGCCCGGCCUGGGGAAUCCCAUUCUUAUGAUGUGAUCACCCAGUGUCCCUGUGUCAGACCUCUGGUGCCAAGAGAGACCUUAGAGAUCACCUGAUCCCACGCCUUCAUUUUACAGAUGGAGGAACUGAGGCUCAGGGAGGUGAUUUUUUCCAAGGUCACCUGCCUAGGCUUCCUGGAGCCAGCUCUGUGCUCUUCUAAAACCACCACUUACUUUCCAAUGGAGGGAGGUGACGUGUCGAGCACCUCUCACCUCUAUUAGCCAGCCUGGUGUCUCCUGAAAAGCAGCGAGCAUGUGCAUGUGUGCACUGAUAAUAUGUACCCCUGCAAGUCAGAGAGGGCACGUGCACACCUACGCGUCUUUGCAAACUGCUGGACAUCAUCUGCUGCAGAUGCAGAGGUCCUGCUCUGUGACCCACACUCUGAGCUCUAAGGAGAAGGAAACACACCCACACCCACACCCUUGAGAACUCACCACAGGGAAGAGUCCACGGAGGCAGACCCAGAACGGAGUGCAGAGAGCAAUGGGAACCGCCUGGGAAUUGUUCUCAAUUGUGUCCUCACGCCCACACACUGACCUCCCGGGGCUCUGCAGCCAGGCUCCCUGUGCCUUCCUCGCCCCGGGGAGAGUCUGAACUCCCAGAAUGCGUGUGUGUGCAUCCCCUGCCCCUGCAGAAGACUCUCAACGGAUCCAGCUAAGUCACCAGCCCAAACGCAAGCCCAAGUCUUGGCGUGACAGGGGCAUUCAGCACUCACAGUUUAUCUGUGGAGAAGAAUCCCAGGCACUGGGUUUCAGAAUCAAGGGCACUAGUGCGGAGGAAGUCUCCAUCAGCCCUCACCUGACUCCUGGCGCUGUGGGUCCCUGAGGGCCCCAGGCAGCUCACCAAUUCUCUGCUUCCCAUGGAUGCUUGUGGUUACUGGCUGACCUCAGUGUCUCUCCCCAGGAUAACAGGACUAGGGGAGUCUCCCUUCACAGUUUGAAAGCACCUUAGUUCCUCCUACUGUCUCAAACCUCUCCAUGGGCGCUGGCAGACCUGCUAUGAUUUUCAUCCUACAGAUGAGGCCCCAGAGGCUUGAGGGUGAAUGGUGCUCAAGGGUGAGGUCUCUCUGAGGCUGGUGCCCUCCCCACACCCGGGGCACUGCCUGACAGCUAUCCCCCAAGACCCCACUCCCUUCAGCCACUGGGACUUCCCUCCCAAUGCAGGCCGUGUGUGCCCUGCUCCUGUGCAGCGGCAGGACAGGUUUCCAAAAACCAACGGCAAAGUUUCCUGAAAGGCUCUGGCUUCCAGGACUCUUGGCAGGGCUCUGCCCAGGAAGCAAUGAGCUGGCACUUUCCUGGCUGUGUGCUUAUAGCUGACCCUGGCCUCAGAGGCCUUCCUCUCCUUAUCAGGAAAGGAUGCCAAGGAGGAGGGAGGAGGCUCUGGGGAGAGUCCAGGCCUUUGUGUGAACCAUCCUAAGGGAAGUGGAUGCUUCUGAGCAGCCCUGCCCGGCUCUGGGCCUUGCCCGCCCUCAUCUUCAGCAGGGCUUUGGCACUGGAAAGAAUGAGCUUCAGCUCCUGAGCCUUGCAGGAGUCAGAGGUCAGCAGAUUCCAGGGCUCAGCCUUUCCGCCUCAGUCAGAAACUCUCAGCAGACCAAAGGCCUGGGCUACAGUCCACUGAGAGUUUUUGACCAAGGCAGAAAUUCUUCUCCACAGAUAAACUGUGAGAUAAACUGGGUGGGGACAUCAGCAGCCUCCUCUCUGACGGGCAAAGUUCUUGGGGCCUGCCAUGUGACCACCCAGCCUGGACUCCCUGCCAACACACACACAAAACAAGGCCCCUGCUAGACCCCAGUGCCUGGGCCCAGCUACUGGGCUGGCUUCUCUGCUGGUGUCCAAGGCUCACAGAUUCCUGUUCUGCUUUCCCUCCAGACAUCCUCUCUGGUCUUCCUGGUCUACCCUCAGGCACACAGGCCUCUCCUCCCCUUAUGCCUCUGUCAGCUCUCUCCUCUGCCUGGACCGCUCUCCCCUCAUCCCUCAGCCCCAGCUCUCCCCUCAAUCCCUGGGAUGCCUGUAUGGACCUCCCGGAGGGCUGGUCCCUCUGUCCCACGCCCUGGACUUCUCUGCAGCACUCCUCAUGGCCACCGUGACUCUCUUGGGGGUGAUCCGUUGACUCACUCCGGCUGCAGGAGGGCUGGGACAGUGCCUGCUGCCUGUGUGCUGGCCAGACACAGUGGGAGUGCCCGCCCAUGCUUACUGGGGAAGCAGAGACAAUGGAAUGUUUUAGCAGGAUUGGGGUCUUCAGAAGGUACUUCCAUGAGGUCCUGCAUACAGCUGGGGUAGGAGGAGGCAGUUUAGGGCCUGGACGAUGUGGGGCUGACAUGAGAGAACAGGCCAGGGUAGGGUGCUGGGCAGGUGGGUCAGAGGGGCAGUCGUCCGCCUGGUACACAAUGUCUUAUAUAUGUUUGCAGGGGUGAAAAGAGACCUGUUCAGGGGCAGUGCCCAGUGAGGAGACCCUCAAACGAGAGGCAGAGUCCCUCAAGCCUUUGUACAAUGCCACCAAGGGUGCUGCCCCUUCUUCAACAGAACGUCCUCCUUGCAGGGAGGCUGCAGUGAUGUCAGAGAUGAAUCACAGGCCAGAGGUGAGAGCUGGAGAAAGGGAAACUCUCCCAGUCCCUGGGAGUGGUCAUUACAGACUGGGAAAUCGCUCUCCAGCUGAUGGUAAAGGACUGCAAAUCCUAUUCAUGUGACUCAGGGCCUGGUGUGCCUUCUGGGAAGAAAGCAGAAGAGGGUUCCUAACUGUAGAAGGGAAAAGUUUCCCUUUAUUCUUCCAGCCACGUGGUUCAAUAAGCAUGUACAAGCUCUUACCAGGGCCAGGCACUGUGCGGGCACCAGAAACAUUAAGAUGGAAUGACACAGGUCUGCCCUGGAAGAAACAUUAAGAUGGAAUGACACAGGUCUGCCCUGGAAGGGCUCCUUUCCAGGGCUCAGGGACUCUGUGACUCCUUUUGGGGAGCAGAGUUGUGGACAAGAGUGCAUUUUUCUAGAGAGAUGGUCCACAAGCCAUCCAGAGCCAGGCUCUGUCUCCAGGUACCCUUGAUCCUUGGAGACCUCCCUCAGGUCCUGGCUUUCUUUUUGGAUUCAGGAUUUCCCUGUGUUCCCCAGGCUGGAGGGCAGUGGCUUACUGCCGCCUCCACCUCCUGGGCUCAAGCAUUCCACCUGCCUCAGCCUCUCAAGUAGCUGAGACCACAGGCACACACCACCAGACCCAUAGAACUUUUUUAUUUUUUGUAAAGACAGGGUCUCACUAUGUCUUUACAUAGUGAGGUCUCGAACUCCUGGGCUUAAGUGAUCCACCCACCUCGGCCUCCCAAAGUGCUGGGAUUACAGGCAUGAGCUACCACGCCUGGCUUAGUUAGCCCUGGCUUUCAAUUCCAUCUCUGUUCUCCAGGACAAGCUGUCUCUGCAACUCCAGGCUCUUCUGGAAGCUGCCACCAAUGCCUUUUCCACGUGGGGAGCUGCUUGAGGUUCCUUCCUCCCUUAACUCAAAUGAUGACAACUCCAGCUUUUGGUUACUCAGGCCAAACUCUCAGAGUCAUUCUAGACCCUUCUCUUUCAAAAUGUACACCCAAUCUAUCAGCCAGUCCUGUCAGCUCUAUUUUAAAAUAUAUGCAGAAACUAAACGAUAGUGGUAGAAAAUAGAUCCGAGGGGCUUGGAGUGUGGAAUAAGGGGGAUACAAAAGAACAGGAGAAAAUUUGGAAGCUGAUGGGAAUGUGAAGUAUCUUGACUGUGGAGAUGGUUGAGUGGGUGUAUAUGUGUGUCAAAAUACAAUAAAUUGUACACUAUAUGUGUGGUUUAAUAUGUGCUAGUUAUGCCUCAAUAAAACUGUUUUUUUUUUUAAG